rnacentral:rRNA from 1 species
AGUCGAGCGAUGAGGUAACUUCGGGGGACACAUCAGCGGCAGACGGGUGAGUAACACGUAGGUAACCUACCCCAGAGACAGGGAUAAGCCGAGGAAACGAGGGCUAAUACCGGAUGACCUCCGGAAGGAGGAAAGGCUCAGGCGCUCUGGGAGGGGCUUGCGGCCCAUCAGCUAGUUGGUAGGGUAAAGGCCUACCAAGGCGAAGACGGGUAGGGGGUGUGAGAGCACGGCCCCCCACAAUGGGACUGAAACACGGCCCAUACUCCUACGGGAGGCAGCAGCAGGGAAUAUUGCACAAUAGGCGAAAGCCUGAUGCAGCGACGCCGCGUGAGUGAAGAAGGCCUUCGGGUCGUAAAGCUCUUUUGUAGGGGAAGAGGAAGGACGGUACCCUAAGAAAGAAGCGUCGGCUAACUACGUGCCAGCAGCCGCGGUAAGACGUAGGACGCGAGCGUUAUCCGGAAUUACUGGGCGUAAAGGGCCAGCAGGCGGCUUGGUAAGUUGUGCGUGAAAGCCUCGUGCUCAAACGCGAGGAAGCCGGACAAUACUGUCAAGCUAGAGGGCAUCAGAGGGGAGUGGAAUUCCCCGGAGUAGCGGUAAAAUGCGCAGAUAUCGGGAGGAACACCGAUGGCGAAGGCAGCUCCCUGGGAUGCACCUGACGCUAAGAGGCGAACGCUAGGGGAGCGACCAGGAUUAGAGACCCUGGUAGUCCU